AUACGGGGGGUGCAAGCGUUAAUCGGAAUUACUGGGCGUAAAGCGCGCGUAGGCGGUUAAAUAAGUUGGAUGUGAAAUCCCCGGGCUCAACCUGGGAACUGCAUUCAAAACUGUUUAACUAGAGUAUGGUAGAGGGAAGUGGAAUUCCAGGUGUAGCGGUGAAAUGCGUAGAUAUCUGGAGGAACAUCAGUGGCGAAGGCGACUUCCUGGAUCAAUACUGACGCUGAGGUGCGAAAGCGUGGGGAGCAAACAGGAUUAGAUACCCCGGUAGUCC
rnacentral:rRNA from 1 species